rnacentral:rRNA from 1 species
CCUACGGGGGGCUGCAGUGGGGAAUAUAGGACAAUGGGGGGAACCCUGAUCCAGCCAUGCCGCGUGUGUGAAGAAGGCCCUCGGGUUGUAAAGCACUUUCAGUGAGGAAGAACGCCUGGUGGUUAAUACCCAUCAGGAAAGACAUCACUCACAGAAGAAGCACCGGCUAACUCCGUGCCAGCAGCCGCGGUAAUACGGAGGGUGCGAGCGUUAAUCGGAAUUACUGGGCGUAAAGCGCGCGUAGGUGGCUUGAUAAGCCGGUUGUGAAAGCCCCGGGCUCAACCUGGGAACGGCAUCCGGAACUGUCAAGCUAGAGUGCAGGAGAGGAAGGUAGAAUUCCCGGUGUAGCGGUGAAAUGCGUAGAGAUCGGGAGGAAUACCAGUGGCGAAGGCGGCCUUCUGGACUGACACUGACACUGAGGUGCGAAAGCGUGGGUAGCAAACAGGAUUAGAUACCCCAGUAGUC